rnacentral:rRNA from 1 species
GACCAGACUCCUACGGGAGGCAGCAGUGAGGAAUAUUGGUCAAUGGCCGUAAGGCUGAACCAGCCAAGUAGCGUGAGGGAAGACUGCCCUAUGGGUUGUAAACCUCUUUUAUGCGGGGAUAAAGGUGUCCACGUGUGGAUGUUUGCAGGUACCGCAUGAAUAAGGACCGGCUAAUUCCGUGCCAGCAGCCGCGGUAAUACGGAAGGUCCGGGCGUUAUCCGGAUUUAUUGGGUUUAAAGGGAGCGUAGGCCGGUCUUUAAGCGUGCCGUGAAAUUUUGUGGCUCAACCAUGAGAGUGCGGCGCGAACUGGAGACCUUGAGUGCGCGGAAGGCAGGCGGAAUUCGUGGUGUAGCGGUGAAAUGCUUAGAUAUCACGAAGAACUCCGAUUGCGAAGGCAGCUUACCAGUCUGCGACUGACGCUCAGGCACGAAAGUGUGGGUAUCGAACAGGAUUAGAUACCCUUGUA